AGUAAGGCUGUGGGUUAUUGUUAAGCUGUUUAACAUUGUCUCCCCCCACACCCCUGCUUGACUAGCUUAAA
rnacentral:sRNA from 1 species